AUGGACCCAGACGUGGAAACCCUCGCCGACGACGACGCACUCGCCGGUGACGGCGGUGAGGCCGAUAGAUUCGAGGCGGAGGCGGAGGCCGAACUCCUUCGUGACCGCUUCAGGCUCGCCGUCAUCAACAUCGCGACUUCUGAAGGCAAGAAGGCGGGCAUGGAGGUUGCGGGUCCCGUCAUCGCCUGCAUCGCCGACUUGGCCUUCAAGAGCGCAGAGCAGCUGGCUAAGGAUGUUGAGCUGUUUGCACAGCAUGCUAGUCGUAAAUCCAUUAGGAUGGACGAUGUUAUCCUCACAGCGCAUAGAAAUGAGCAUCUUAUGGGCAAGCUGCGAACAUUUUCUCAAAACCUGAAAGGAAAAGAGCCUUGCACCGGGAAGAAGAGAAAGAAAACAUCCAAGAAGGACGAUAACUUGACCGUUAUCUGA
rnacentral:rRNA from 1 species